UCUUUCUGGCUCACUACUGUACAUUUUUGUGUAUCACAUUUAAACCAACUAUAUACAAACUCUUUUUACAUGACUCUUAACCCAUAUGUAUCUUUUUAGAUUUUUUUCAGAUGGAGACAUCCAGUAUGGUUUUCCGUAAAGGGAGACCAGCGAGGCCCAGAGAGAGAGGCACGGGCUGAGUUAGAUGGAGACAUCCAGUAUGGUUUUCCGUAAAGGGAGACCAGCGAGGCCCAGAGAGAGAGGCACGGGCUGAGUUAGAUGGAGACAUCCAGUAUGGUUUUCCGUAAAGGGAGACCAGCGAGGCCCAGAGAGAGAGGCACGGGCUGAGUUAGGUAAGUAUAGAUCCCAGACCCAAUGCC